CAUUUCCCACUAUGUUACAUGGGAACAUGAUGGUGUGUUAUAAGCCCACAAAAUCCUACAGCCAACUUCCUAACACGUAACCCAAACAUAGAUAAUACUUCUGGAAUACAGAUAUUCCCCAACUAAUGAUGGAAUCACAUCCCAGUAAACACAUUGUAAAUUGAAAAUGUUAUAAUUUUUAAAAAUAUUUAUUUAUUUAUUUAUUUGAAAGGCAAAAUUGCAGAGAGAGAGAGAGAGAGAGGUCUUCCAUCCGCUGGUUCACUCCCCAGAUGGCCGCAACAGCUGGAGUUGUACCAACCCAAAGCUAGGAGCCAGGAGCUUCUUCCAGGUCUCCCACAUGGGUGCAAGGACCCAAGGACUUGGGCUAUCCUCUACUGCUUUCCCAGGCUAGGGCAGAGAGCUAGAUCAGAAGUGGAGCAGCUGGGACUUGAACCAUGCCCACAUGGGAUGCUGGCACUGCAGGCAGAAGCUUUACCUGCUAUGCCACAGCGCUGGCCCUGGAAAUAUUAUAAUUUAAAUUGCAGUUAAUAUGCCUAACCUAUUGGCUCUCCUAGGUUGGCCACAGCACACUGUAGUUGGUUGAAAUUGCCAGCAUAGUGAGAAAGGGUUGCGCUGCAUAAUGAUAGCCCAGGAAAAUACAAAUUCCCGAAGUGCAGCUUCUGAAUGCUUAUUGCUUUCAAUUCUCAAAAACUCGAAAAACUGUAAGCUGAAGCAUCGUAGACUGGGGACUGUUUGGAUAUAACUAUGACUACUUAAGUCAUUAGUUGUCUUGGUCAUUAAUCCCUUAAUAACAUUAUUAACACACAGUCCCUCUGUGAAGUAACAUCCAGUUUACAUACCGUGUCAUACAUCUUACCGUUAAAGUGACUCCCGGCAAAGAAAUCAGCCACAUAGCAAUCACUUAAACAUUUUUAGGUAAAACUACAGAUAAAAUGUGCGGUAGACUUUUAUUCUUAGGGUAAAAAACAGAAAGUGACUUCCUGAAAUGAACUGUCACUCAGCACAGAAGAUUGAGAGUGCAGGGGUGGGAAAACACCACGGUGGGGGGCAGACGCUCCCCGACACGUGGCACACUUCUCCCAGCAUCUACACUGGCCUCUGACGGCUGACAUCCCGUGGCUGCAUUUGGAGAGUAACGCGAGAUUCUGCUGCACACUGCUUUAUUACAGAUGUCGCAUUGAGCUCAAGGGACACAGUAAGUGUUUUUUCCUAUGUUAACGUCAACUGAAGACAAUAUUGCUUUGAGAGAUGGGCAGGUUCUUUGGCAUUGCCCGCAGCAGGAAGGACCCGCCCGGUGGAGGGCAUGGGCCCAGCUGCGGAAGAGGUGAAGAAUCCUGUGGCGUGCGACUCUGCUGUGACCUCCUUGGGGAAAUUGCAGAACAGCCCAGAGGAGUGCGGGCUGGAGCCCUUCCCCCGUGGUUUUCCCGUCGCCAUCUGCAAAGCCCCAGGGAGUUUCGGGGAGGAAAGGAGGAAGGAUGGGCUGUUGAUCCUACACUUGAAGAACUGUCGUCCAACUGGAGGCAAGGGAAUGUCCCUGGGAAACUAAGAGGUAGGUAGUAUGGCAGGUGUUUUGGCCAAACAGGGAGGGGGUUGGGAGAAGAAAUCCUAUAGGAUUGCCCUGGGGAUGGGUAGAGAUUUCCAGAAGAGGUGACAAUCGGGAAGGCUUUUUGCACGUGAAUGGGAGUCCAGUGGCUGGAGCAGUGAAGGGCUUGGGGUGUGGGAACAGCACGAGCACAGGAUGUGUGUGUGGGUUCGGGUUUGUUUAGGCUCCCCCUGGUAGCAUUCAUGGAGCCAGGAGAGAUGUGGAAGAAAGAUGCGGCGGGAAGAGUAGAGCCACGGGGCCCACGCGAGGGCAGCUGUGAAGCCACCUGCAGGGACUGAUCUCCGCCCUGCAGAUGGUCACCAGGACUGGAAGGGAGAGAGGGAGCUCAGCUUUAGGAUCGUAAAUCCAAUGGUGCUAAGAAAUGAAAGAGAAAUUGUUGGAAGUGAAUCUUUGAUUUUGCGCACCAAUCUAGAGGAUUCUUGCCUCGGCAACACAACUCAGGCAGAAAACUUCCCCCGAGCAGCUUGUUAAGGCAGCCUUAGCUCCCUCCUCACUUACAGCCCAAACACCAUAAGGUUGUGUUUGGCCUUCAGUUGUCUGGGAAGCAAGAGGUUCACUGGGGUUUUCCAAAGAGGUUCCCUUUGCAAGUGGCCAUGUAAUGCUAUUGAAAACAGAGGUUGCCGCCUGGGCCCAGAGCUUGUGAAAUGCCUCUGUGUGGCUUGGCCUUGCCUUCCAGUUUCCAGUUUAACAUCCACUGACUUGAUGAGAGGCUCAUAAGUAAUGAGAAAGGAUCAGUCCCUGACCAUACAUGCACAGGCAGGCAUGUAUGGUCACACACACACACACAUACACACAGAGACACGCACCACGCAGACAACAGAAAUCAAUGUCAAAUCCACUUUCCAGAGGCAUGUCCCAGCAUAGGUAUAUACACUGAGCCCACAAAUAUGUGAACAAUAGCCAGAAUACGUGACCACACUGAUCCACAAUAUGAGCUAUGACAAGAAUGUAUUUUUAGAAGCAUCCUUUCCUUUAAAAGUAGGAUUUUAUAAAGGUAGCAGGAGAACAAAGAAUAAAUUAUGAAGGAAAGAAAUUGAUUAUGGAACAGAUUCUAGAAAGUCAAAAGACCAAGAAUUCUCUGGCAUUCCUGGGGGUCCAGGCAGGUGGGUUUGAUAUGGAGGCCAACCAGUUGCUGGGGAUACAGAUGGAGAGACAGAUGGCUCCAGAUGGGCAGGAAGUGAGGGGGAACAUAGGCAGAAGACCCAGCCAUUGAGUGUCCCAAGGAUGGAAGUCAUUAUGGGGACACGGAGCUUUCCAGAGCUCCCUACGAGCCAGGGUUGCCCUAUUUAGCAAAAAAAGAAAAAAGACAAAAACAACAACAAUAACAAA